AUUGAACGCUGGCGGCAGGCCUAACACAUGCAAGUCGAACGAGUGGCGGACGGGUGAGUAAUGUCUGGGAAACUGCCCGAUGGAGGGGGAUAACUACUGGAAACGGUAGCUAAUACCGCAUACCAUCGGAUGUGCCCAGAUGGGAUUAGCUAGUAGGUGGGGUAACGGCUCACCUAGGCGACGAUCCCUAGCUGGUCUGAGAGGAUGACCAGCCACACGGGAACUGAGACACGGUCCAGACGCCGACGGGAGGCAGCAGUGGGGAAUAUUGCACAAUGGGCGCAAGCCUGAUGCAGCCAUGCCGCGUGAGUGAAGAAGGCUUUCGGGUUGUAAAGUUCUUUCAGCGGGGAAGCGGUAAUCACAGAGAAAGCAACGGCUAACUCCGUGCCAGCAGCCGCGGUAAUUC
rnacentral:rRNA from 1 species